GGUUAUUCUGCAGAUUGUAUAAAUCUUUUGCCUUUUACUAAAGAUUUCCUUGGAGAGGAACAACAAC
rnacentral:snRNA from 1 species